rnacentral:rRNA from 1 species
UUAAGCAUAUUACUAAGCGGAGGAAAAGAAACCAACGGGGAUUCCCAUAGUAACUGCGAGUGAAAGGGGAAAAGCCCAGCGCCGAAUCCUGCUGCUGGCGACGGUGGCAGGAACUGUGGCGUGAAGACGGUGUCUAUCGGUGUGGCUCGCUCGCGUAAGUCCUCCUGAGUGAGGCUCCAUCCCAUGGAGGGUGCAAGGCCCGUGUCGUGAGCAGCCGUCGCUGAUGUGCACCGUCAGAGAGUCGCCUUGUUUGCGAGUACAAGGUGAAGUCGGUGGUAAACUCCAUCGAAGGCUAAAUAUGACCACGAGUCCGAUAGCGAACAAGUACCGUGAGGGAAAAUUGAAAAGCACUUUGAAGAGAGAGCGAAACAGUGCGUGAAACCGCUCAGAGGCAAGCAGAUGGGGCCUCGAAGGCAGAGCGUCGAAUUCAGCCGACUGUCCGUGCGGUUGGCCGGGAUGGGAGAGCGUAAGCCUCCGCCUGGUCGAUUGGUACGGCUGUUGGUGCACUUUCGGCGCUUGUACGCCACCGCCGUUAGGGAGCGUCCGUCGGACCCGAGUGUGGAGCCUGACUCUCGCAAGAGUUGUCGGUGCUCACGUUGGGUUUGUACGCGUUCGCACCCUAACCGGUCAAGUCAGCAUGUGCCAGCGUUUGCGCUGGGUCAGUCGGCUCCGUGCGGGUCGUGAGGGAUGACGUGCUUGCACGGCUCUCUUGCGCUUGUCGGACUUGUGCUGGCCUUCAGCGUGGUGCAUUGUCGAUUCGGUGGCGAGUAGACGGCUGCCCAUCUAACCCGUCUUGAAACAC